rnacentral:rRNA from 1 species
UUCCUACGGGGGGCAGCAGUCGGGAAUAUUGCGCAAUGGAGGAAACUCUGACGCAGUGACGCCGCGUAUAGGAAGAAGGUUUUCGGAUUGUAAACUAUUGUCGAUAGGGAAGAAAAAAGACUGUACCUAUCAAGAAAGCUCCAGCUAACUACGUGCCAGCAGCCGCGGUAAUACGUAGGGAGCAAGCGUUAUCCGGAUUUACUGGGUGUAAAGGGAGCGUAGACGGCAAUACAAGUCGGAAGUGAAAUACCCGGGCUCAACCUGGGAACUGCUUUGGAAACUGUAUGGCUGGAGUGCUGGAGAGG